AAGGGAAUCAUGUGGCUGCUUUAUUUUUGUCCACAUAGUAGGCAUGUGAUACCACGGAGGACCAGCACACACACACGUUGCAUUAAAUAGAGCUUCCUGGAGGGCCGCGAUUGGCCGAGGUGUCCGGACGGCGGGAUGAUUGAUGAUGGCGAGGGCAAGGCCGAGCACUGGCAGCAUAAAGCCCCAUAGACGCCUCAAUAAAGAGCCCCGGAUAGUGGAGAGGCGGGCCCUCCUCAUCACCCGCUCAAUAGAACAGCCCCCCCCCCCCCCUUCUCUCGACCCCCGCCCAACAUCCAACCUCUGAGGAGGAUGUUGCCGGGUAAUCACUUUAUCCCGUCUGCUGCAGGAUGAGAGCAACGGUGACAGUGGAUGUGUUGGAGGGUGAAAAUGGCUUCUACUUGAGAGUUGCUGGUGGUGCUGGGAUUCCAGAUUGGGGAGUCAAAGUGAGAACUGGAUGAUCCCAACUUUCAAAAAAGUGAUUAAUGCCGACGAUGCCGUCAGCAACUCUGGUGGCCGCCGUGCUGCCAACAACAAGAAAGCUGACCUCGUCAAUGAGAGCACGAUAGCUGAGAUUCCUGUCGUAACCACCCCC